rnacentral:rRNA from 3 species
UUAAGCGACUAAGCGUACACGGUGGAUGCCCUGGCAGUCAGAGGCGAUGAAGGACGUGCUAAUCUGCGAAAAGCGUCGGUAAGGUGAUAUGAACCGUUAUAACCGGCGAUGUCCGAAUGGGGAAACCCAGUGCAAUUCGUUGCACUAUCGUUAACUGAAUACAUAGGUUAACGAGGCGAACCGGGGGAACUGAAACAUCUAAGUACCCCGAGGAAAAGAAAUCAACCGAGAUUCCCCCAGUAGCGGCGAGCGAACGGGGAGCAGCCCAGAGUCUGAAUCAGCUUGUGUGUUAGUGGAACGGUCUGGAAAGUCCGACGGUACAGGGUGAUAGUCCCGUACACCAAAAUGCACAGGCUGUGAACUCGAAGAGUAGGGCGGGACACGUGGUAUCCUGUCUGAAUAUGGGGGGACCAUCCUCCAAGGCUAAAUACUCCUGACUGACCGAUAGUGAACCAGUACCGUGAGGGAAAGGCGAAAAGAACCCCGGCGAGGGGAGUGAAAAAGAACCUGAAACCGUGUACGUACAAGCAGUGGGAGCACCUUCGGGUGUGACUGCGUACCUUUUGUAUAAUGGGUCAGCGACUUAUAUUCUGUAGCAAGGUUAACCGUAUAGGGGAGCCGCAGGGAAACCGAGUCUUAACUGGGCGUUAAGUUGCAGGGUAUAGACCCGAAACCCGGUGAUCUAGCCAUGGGCAGGUUGAAGGUUGGGUAACACUAACUGGAGGACCGAACCGACUAAUGUUGAAAAAUUAGCGGAUGACUUGUGGCUGGGGGUGAAAGGCCAAUCAAACCGGGAGAUAGCUGGUUCUCCCCGAAAGCUAUUUAGGUAGCGCCUCGUGAACUCAUCUUCGGGGGUAGAGCACUGUUUCGGCUAGGGGGUCAUCCCGACUUACCAACCCGAUGCAAACUACGAAUACCGAAGAAUGUUAUCACGGGAGACACACGGCGGGUGCUAACGUCCGUCGUGAAGAGGGAAACAACCCAGACCGCCAGCUAAGGUCCCAAAGUCAUGGUUAAGUGGGAAACGAUGUGGGAAGGCACAGACAGCCAGGAUGUUGGCUUAGAAGCAGCCAUCAUUUAAAGAAAGCGUAAUAGCUCACUGGUCGAGUCGGCCUGCGCGGAAGAUGUAACGGGGCUAAACCAUGCACCGAAGCUGCGGCAGCGACACUAUGUGUUGUUGGGUAGGGGAGCGUUCUGUAAGCCUGCGAAGGUGUGCUGUGAGGCAUGCUGGAGGUAUCAGAAGUGCGAAUGCUGACAUAAGUAACGAUAAAGCGGGUGAAAAGCCCGCUCGCCGGAAGACCAAGGGUUCCUGUCCAACGUUAAUCGGGGCAGGGUGAGUCGACCCCUAAGGCGAGGCCGAAAGGCGUAGUCGAUGGGAAACAGGUUAAUAUUCCUGUACUUGGUGUUACUGCGAAGGGGGGACGGAGAAGGCUAUGUUAGCCGGGCGACGGUUGUCCCGGUUUAAGCAUGUAGGCUGAUUGUCCAGGCAAAUCCGGAUAAUCAAGGCUGAGGUGUGAUGACGAGGCACUACGGUGCUGAAGUAACAAAUGCCCUGCUUCCAGGAAAAGCCUCUAAGCAUCAGGUAACAUUAAAUCGUACCCCAAACCGACACAGGUGGUCAGGUAGAGAAUACCAAGGCGCUUGAGAGAACUCGGGUGAAGGAACUAGGCAAAAUGGUGCCGUAACUUCGGGAGAAGGCACGCUGGUGUGUAGGUGAAGUCCCUGCGGAUGGAGCUGAGACCAGUCGAAGAUACCAGCUGGCUGCAACUGUUUAUUAAAAACACAGCACUGUGCAAACACGAAAGUGGACGUAUACGGUGUGACGCCUGCCCGGUGCCGGAAGGUUAAUUGAUGGGGUUAUCCGUAAGGAGAAGCUCUUGAUCGAAGCCCCGGUAAACGGCGGCCGUAACUAUAACGGUCCUAAGGUAGCGAAAUUCCUUGUCGGGUAAGUUCCGACCUGCACGAAUGGCGUAAUGAUGGCCAGGCUGUCUCCACCCGAGACUCAGUGAAAUUGAACUCGCUGUGAAGAUGCAGUGUACCCGCGGCAAGACGGAAAGACCCCGUGAACCUUUACUAUAGCUUGACACUGAACAUUGAGCCUUGAUGUGUAGGAUAGGUGGGAGGCUUUGAAGCGUGGACGCCAGUCUGCGUGGAGCCAACCUUGAAAUACCACCCUUUAAUGUUUGAUGUUCUAACGUUGGCCCCUUACCGGGGUUGCGGACAGUGUCUGGUGGGUAGUUUGACUGGGGCGGUCUCCUCCCAAAGCGUAACGGAGGAGCACGAAGGUUAGCUAAUCCUGGUCGGACAUCAGGAGGUUAGUGCAAUGGCAUAAGCUAGCUUGACUGCGAGCGUGACGGCGCGAGCAGGUGCGAAAGCAGGUCAUAGUGAUCCGGUGGUUCUGAAUGGAAGGGCCAUCGCUCAACGGAUAAAAGGUACUCCGGGGAUAACAGGCUGAUACCGCCCAAGAGUUCAUAUCGACGGCGGUGUUUGGCACCUCGAUGUCGGCUCAUCACAUCCUGGGGCUGAAGUAGGUCCCAAGGGUAUGGCUGUUCGCCAUUUAAAGUGGUACGCGAGCUGGGUUUAGAACGUCGUGAGACAGUUCGGUCCCUAUCUGCCGUGGGCGCUGGAGAAUUGAGGGGGGCUGCUCCUAGUACGAGAGGACCGGAGUGGACGCAUCACUGGUGUUCGGGUUGUCAUGCCAAUGGCACUGCCCGGUAGCUAAAUGCGGAAGAGAUAAGUGCUGAAAGCAUCUAAGCACGAAACUUGCCCCGAGAUGAGUUCUCCCUGAGACUUUAAGUCUCCUGAAGGAACGUUGAAGACGACGACGUUGAUAGGCCGGGUGUGUAAGCGCAGCGAUGCGUUGAGCUAACCGGUACUAAUGAACCGUGAGGCUUAACCUU